rnacentral:rRNA from 1 species
GAACGCUAGCGACAGGCCUAACACAUGCAAGUCGAGGGGCAGCACAAGGAGCAAUCUGAGGUGGCGACCGGCGCACGGGUGAGUAACACGUAUGCAACCUGCCUGUAAGCGGGGAAUAACCCGUUGAAAGACGGACUAAUACCGCAUAAUACUAAAUUACUGCAUGGUAAUUUAUUUAAACAUUUAUGGCUUACAGAUGGGCAUGCGCAUGAUUAGCUAGUUGGAGAGGUAACGGCUCCCCAAGGCAACGAUCAUUAGGGGUUCUGAGAGGAAGGUCCCCCACACUGGUACUGAGACACGGACCAGACUCCUACGGGAGGCAGCAGUGAGGAAUAUUGGUCAAUGGACGAGAGUCUGAACCAGCCAAGUCGCGUGCAGGAAGAAGGAUCUAUGGUUCGUAAACUUCUUUUGCAGGGGAAUAAAGUGCAGGGCGUGUCCUGUUUUGUAUGUACCCUGAGAAUAAGGAUCGGCUAACUCCGUGCCAGCCGCGGC